CCCAGGCUUAGAAUGGAUAUUGGGAGAAGGAGCCACCCCUGGAAUAUCAGAAAAAUCCUAUUUGGUCAUCCACAACCUCUGAUCUCCUAAGCU
ensembl:misc_RNA